rnacentral:miRNA from 1 species
CGGAGGAGAUGGGGCUGGGCUGGGCUGGGCAGGGCAGGAGGGUCUCUCUGCUCGGCCAGUUUC